AAGAAGAUGGGUGGAGAGGUGGUGGAGGCGAAGGGGACCGCGCUCUUCUCUGCGCCGCCUCGGAUUGCAUGGGAGUCCGGCGGCGGCGGUCAGGAUAACGGGGGCUUUGACGGAUGGAGCGAGUGCGCGUCUCCGGCUGAUAAAAACGCGGAGCUGGGGGUCCUGACGGUGGCGGAGGCGGUUCUGCAGGCGGGAGACACCAAAGCAGAGAGGCUCCUCUGACACAACAUGAUGCUGUGGCCGGUGCUCCUGGCUCCUGGACAUGAGCUACUUCCUGUUUUUGUUUGGGGUUUUUUCCCUUCUCCCCUGAGAUUUCAACAGACUUUAACAUUUAAACUUGUGAGCGAAAGUCACGUUUGUGAGAACAUCUUGCUUGGUGUAAAGCUCUCAAAAAUAAGAAAAGCUGAAGGGAAAACAUUUCGUUUUCAUGUUUUCUGUAUAUUUUUGUCUAAAUUAUUUUUGGGAAUAAAGUGCAAAGACAUUGAAAUGUGGCUGUGUGACUCUGAGCAGUGGAUGCUGUCUGCUUUAGUGAAAGAGACUAUGUUGCAAAGGUAAUCCUUAACAAAGUGUCACCUUUUUAACGUCUAUAAGUACAAACAAAUGUUUGGGAUUUAACACACAUGGGUAAUUUCUUUCUACUUUAUCCAAAAUAGCUGAGCUACAGCUGGGUCUGUAAGGGAAAGAAAGCAAAUUCGUCGACGGAGCCAGAAUGUCUCUUAUCUUUAAGGGAACGUAUUUCUCUGGUGCCAGCGGGUGGUUUAAAAAAAAAAAAAAAAAUGAAGAUGUAGAGAUAGAAGGAAUGUGACCUGAAUGUUUUAAGCUCUUUCCGUGUCAUCUGUCACGCCGCUCACUCCUCGUGAGGUGCCGUGCGAAGCAUGGAAAGAGUAAAACUAACUUUCACAAGUUGCCGCUGUCGGAUCGGCCGCUGCGUAGGGUUUUUCUUCGCUGCCGUCCUCCUUGAUGCGGUCGGCCUCGUCGUCUUCGUCACUGGGAUCGCCUCGCCCGUCGCCUACUGGGACUUUCUUGUCCUUUCUGGGCCGCUAAUCUUGUUCCUCAGCCUGGCGUUUUGGAUUUUGUGGCACAUCGGAAACGUAGAGGUGCCGGCCGAGGAGCUGACUCAACUUUGAGGCUCCUCGCCAGCAACCGUUGAUCACCUUUCGCCGGAUGAGGAAGCCAAUUCAGCUACAGGUUCAAAGCUUCUGCUGUGAAAUAAGCGAAUGUGGAGAAAGUAAUGUUUGUUAAAAGUUUUGUUGCUUUCCUUUGUUUGGUUUCAGGUGCUUUUUGUGCUUGGAGUCUGUCUCGAAGGACAAACUUAUGGAGCCGUAAUCUGAAAAAGACGUCUGACUGUUGAGAAGGAAAAGUUCUGAAGAUCUCUUCAGACCAAGAAAGGUGCAAUCAUUAAGACUCUUUUGUAUUUUGACAAAUAAUCCUGAAUGAUGUUUACUCCGACUUGCCCCCAGAAAAGCCAAGAUGAAAAGGAACACACAACAAUAGCAAAUUGCUGUAGUUAUUUUUAAUUAGCAUUAUUUUUGAGUCAUUUUGUUCCCAACUAAUAUUAUAUUAUAGCCAUUUGGGAUUCUUUUGUGCUCGUAUUCCGUCUUUUGGGGCCUUUUUAAAUUCACAUUGUCCCUGUUUGAUUCAUCCUUUAGCUUUUUAUCUCAAACUUGCGUUCUUUGUAAGCAUUUCCUUUGUUUGGGGUCUUGUGCAUAGUUUUUUGUUAAAAUUCCACCCCUAAGCUGCGCUUUUGUAUCUCUAUUGCUACGCUGAGGCUCUUUGCUGUCCUUUUGUGAUGAACACAUUUCACAAAUUGUCCUGAUUACUGUAAUGUUGCUUUUGUGCAAAUAUUUGAGGCGUUUCUCAAAUCUAAAUGUGAGCGGUCAAAUAAGUUUUUGAUUCCUACACUACUUCUUUUUUGUUUUCUCAUUCAGUCUGACCAUAUUUCUCCUAAAAUGUUUUGUUUUAAAAAAAAAAAAAAGACUUCAUCUAGCACUGAAUUUCCUUCUUUGAGCCGUAUGGCUUUUUGAAGUUGCAUUGUUUCAAAUGGAAACAUAAUAAAAGCAAUUCCGAUUAGCGUAUUAGUUUGCUACACUUGUUGGCACUUUUUUUUUUUUUUUUUAAACAUGGACAACCUUUUGGAUUGUCAAAAGAUGUACACCAAACUCAACUAUGAACUUUAUUGAAAUGAAGGACCCAAACAAAUAAUUAUAUCGAUACAUAACGUCAAAAUGAUGUUAUGUAGAUUUAAAGGUCCAUUUUCACCAGCUUGUGCAUAGCGUCACGGUUUCUAGGUUACAGGACAAACUCCGGGGUAAGGGCAGGGAAUAAAGCUGAAGGCUAGACCGUCAAAUUUCACAGCCGCUCAUGUCUGGUCUGGUCUUUGCGGUUGACAAAGAACCUGACCUACCUUUGUAGGCCUUGUGGACGAAGCACUACGUGGUGUUUCAUCGACCACGAAGCCUACAUCAGCCAGGUCCUUUGAGGGACACAGCCCCUCCAUUUGGACACACCCUAUCUGUUAGAAAAUGUAUGUAAUGUAAAAAAAAUAUUAAAUUAUAAUAAUUAGUUUAUCAAAUCAAGGAUGCUAUUACACCUUUUCAAUUUUCUCUCAUGUAUCAUUGUGUUCUGUGUAAAUAAACGUCUAAUCCAAUGAA